rnacentral:rRNA from 1 species
UACGAGGGGUCCUAGCGUUGUUCGGAAUUAUUGGGCGUAAAGAGUAUGUAGGCGGCCAUACAAGUCAGUUGUGAAAUCCCCAGGCUUAACCUGGGAACUGCGUGUGAUACUGGAUGGCUUGAAUUCGGGAGAGGGAUGCAGAAUUCCAGGUGUAGCGGUGAAAUGCGUAGAUAUCUGGAGGAAUACCGGUGGCGAAGGCGGCAUCCUGGACCGACAUUGACGCUGAGGAGCGAAAGCUAGGGGAGCAAACGGGG